CGGGGUGUAGCGCAGCCUGGUAGCGCACCUGUCUGGGGGACAGGUGGUCGUCGGUUCGAAUCCGGCCACCCCGACCA
rnacentral:tRNA from 10 species